rnacentral:rRNA from 1 species
CCUACGGGAGGCAGCAGUGGGGAAUUUUGGACAAUGGGGGCAACCCUGAUCCAGCCAUGCCGCGUGCAGGAUGAAGGUCUUCGGAUUGUAAACUGCUUUUGUCAGGGAAGAAAAGGUCUGUGUUAAUACCAUAGACUGCUGACGGUACCUGAAGAAUAAGCACCGGCUAACUACGUGCCAGCAGCCGCGGUAAU